rnacentral:rRNA from 1 species
CCUACGGGAGGCUGCAGUGGGGAAUAUUGGACAAUGGGCGAAAGCCUGAUCCAGCCAUGCCGCGUGUGUGAAGAAGGCCUUCGGGUUGUAAAGCACUUUCAGUGGGGAAGAAAGCCUUGGGGCUAAUACCCUCGAGGAAGGACAUCACCCACAGAAGAAGCACCGGCUAACUCCGUGCCAGCAGCCGCGGUAAUACGGAGGGUGCGAGCAGUUAAUCGGAAUUACUGGGCGUAAAGCGCGCGUAGGCGGUCUGAUAAGCCGGUUGUGAAAGCCCCGGGCUCAACCUGGGAACGGCAUCCGGAACUGUCAGGCUAGAGGGCAGGAGAGGAAGGUAGAAUUCCCGGUGUAGCGGUGAAAUGCGUAGAGAUCGGGAGGAAUACCAGUGGCGAAGGCGGCCUUCUGGACUGACACUGACGCUGAGGUGCGAAAGCGUGGGUAGCAAACAGGAUUAGAUACCCCGGUAGUC